UACGUAGGGUGCAAGCGUUGUCCGGAAUUAUUGGGCGUAAAGAGCUCGUAGGCGGUUUGUCGCGUCUGCCGUGAAAGUCCGGGGCUCAACUCCGGAUCUGCGGUGGGUACGGGCAGACUAGAGUGAUGUAGGGGAGACUGGAAUUCCUGGUGUAGCGGUGAAAUGCGCAGAUAUCAGGAGGAACACCGAUGGCGAAGGCGGGUCUCUGGGCCGAUAUUGACGCUGAGGAGCGAAAGCGUGGGGAGCGAACAGG
rnacentral:rRNA from 1 species